rnacentral:rRNA from 1 species
AUUGAACGCUGGCGGCGUGCUUAACACAUGCAAGUCGAUCGGUAACGCGGGGGCAACCCUGGCGACGAGAGGCGGACGGGUGAGGAACGCUUGGGAAUCUGCCUAUCAGCGGGGGACAACACGGGGAAACUCGUGCUAAUACCGCAUACGCUCUACGGAGGAAAGCCGGGGACCGCAAGGCCUGGCACUGAUAGAUGAGCCCAAGUCGGAUUAGCUAGUUGGCGGGGUAACGGCCCACCAAGGCGACGAUCCGUAGCUGGUCUGAGAGGACGAUCAGCCACACUGGAACUGAGACACGGUCCAGACUCCUACGGGAGGCUG